CGGAGUAUAGUUCAGAUGGUAGAACACACGGUUCGGGACCGUGAGGUCGUGAGUUCAAGUCUCACUACUCCGA
rnacentral:tRNA from 2 species